rnacentral:rRNA from 1 species
AGUGAACGCUGGCGGUAUGCCUAACACAUGCAAGUCGAACGGCAGCACAGUAAGCUCUUGCUCUUACGGUUGGCGAGGGGCGGACGGGUGAGGCAUACAUCGGCAGCUACUUUUUCGUGGGUGAUAACGUAGGGCAAUAUACACUACUACCUCAUACGACCUACGGGUUAAAGCAUAUGAUCUUCGGACCUUUCGCGAAUUACUGAGUGGAUGUCGGUUGUGCUAGUUGGUAGGUUAAAGACCGACCAAGGCGACGAUCGGUAGCUGGUCUACCAGGAUGAUCAGCCAAACGGGACCUGAGACACGGUCCAGCCUCCUACGGGAGGCAGCAGUGGGGAAUAUUGGACAAUGGGCGAAAGCCUGAUCAAGCCAGACGGCGUGGGGGAAGAAGGCCUUCGGGUUGUAAAGUCUGUUUGUUGGGAAAGAAAAGUGGCAGGUUAAAACCCCGCUGUUCUGACGGUACCCAACGAAUAAGCACCGGCUAACUUCGUG